GAGGAAUAUUGGUCAAUGGGCGAGAGCCUGAACCAGCCAAGUCGCGUGAAGGAUGACUGUCUUAUGGAUUGUAAACUUCUUUUAUACGGGAAUAACAAGAGUCACGUGUGACUCCCUGCAUGUACCGUAUGAAUAAGCAUCGGCUAACUCCGUGCCAGCAGCCGCGGUAAUACGGAGGAUGCGAGCGUUAUCCGGAUUUAUUGGGUUUAAAGGGUGCGUAGGCGGCCUGUUAAGUCAGCGGUGAAAUCUAGGAGCUUAACUCCUAAAUUGCCAUUGAUACUGGCGGGCUUGAGUGUAGAUGAGGUAGGCGGAAUGCGUGGUGUAGCGGUGGAAUGCAUAGAUAUCACGCAGAACUCCGAUUGCGAAGGCAGCUUACUAAGGUACAGCUGACGCUGAAGCACGAAAGCGUGGGUAUCAAACAGGAUUAGAUACCCUGGUAGUCCACGCAGUAAACGAUGAUAACUGGGCGUAUGCGAUAUACAGUAUGCUCCUAAGCGAAAGCGUUAAGUUAUCCACCUGGGGAGUACGCCGGCAACGGUG
rnacentral:rRNA from 1 species